ACCAUCACCACUUCUACCUUCAACCCAUCACCACUUCUACCUUCAACCCAUCACCACCUCCACCGCCACCUUAACCCUGCAAUAGAGCGUGUGCCAGAUUCAUUUGACCUAAUUCUUUCAUCUGCACACAAACAGUUACACAAUCCACCUCCUAUCUCCAGUUACCCCUACACCAACCUCUCCACUCUUACCGCCUACACCCAGUUUCCCAUUCAUCCUAUAAAUACCCCCAUCGUCAUCCAGUUUCCAAAAAUAUUCCACUAAUCAGUACCGGAGGGCGGCUAGUGUGAUUCGUUUUCCGGCAGAUUCAUUUGACCUAAUUCUCGAAACAGAGCGUGUGCCAGAUUCGUUUUCCAGCCAAAUUCAUUUGCAAAGGGGUCCCAAUUGAAUGAAGUGAUGUUGAAGAAGAACCUUUAUAUGAUGGGUCGAUCUGAUUAAUUGAUUUUGGGUUUUAUUUCAUUGAUGGUUGCAUUAGAUAGGGUUUAUGGUUGGUCAUUAGAUAGGGGUGGGGUGGGGUGGGUUGAAGGUGACUGUGGAGGUGGUGGUGGGUUGAAGGUGACGGUGGAGGUGGAGGUGGAGGUGGUGGAUUGAAGGUGGUGGUGGUGGGUUAAAGGUGGUGGUGGGUUUUAAAGAGAGUGGAGGAAGAAGAUGAGGGUGAGUUAUCUUUAUUUUUUAUUUUUUUAUUGUUCAGGGGCAAUCUAGUCAUUUCGCAUACAUUUAACUGAGAAAAUUAACAUGGGUUAGUGAUAAAGAUCACCCGAGUACAAAAUUUGUAACCCUUGGGACCAACUCUGUAAUUAGUAAACCACUAGAACCAAGUCUGCAAUAUUUGCAAACCACAGAGACCAACCAUGCAUUUAACUCUGUCAUAUCAUGAUUUAGCCAUAUUAACCCUUUAAUGAUUUUGACCUUAACACUAAUUUUGUUACUUUUUUUACAAUUAAGUGUAAGGGUAAUUAGAUAAUUAUAUACCUUAUGAGUUGUUUUUUUUUAUAAUUACAAAGUUCUUUUAAUAUUUAAGAGAUUAUUAUUACAAUUACUCAAGUUUUUUUUUUUAUUAUUUCGUUAACUUCACGAUUAUUUUUAACAAAAUACGUUUUAAAUACAUAAAUAAAUAUGUAUGUUUUCCUUAACCAUUUGUUGUUUAUAAACGUCGUUUUAUAAUCAUUUAUGUUUUUUAUUUUUUUAAAAAACCAUCUAUCGUUUAUAAAAAAAUGUUCCUUUUUAAAUCCCUUGUCUUUUUUAAAUCGCCCCUUUUAAAGUUUUUUUAAACAGUUCAUAUUAUACCGUUCUUUUUAAAAUCGUUUGUUUUACAACCGUUUUUGAAAUCGUUCAUUAAAACCUAUAUAAAAAAGCAAGUACUUUGUGCAUAUGUUGGUUGUAACCUGUGCUUUGGGAGUGUUUCAAAGGUGUACAUCCAGGUAUUUGUUACAUACCUUCUCUCCCUUUCAGUCCAAAACCACUGCCACUCAUCUCAUCCCGUUUGAAGAUCAGUACCAACCACCGCCGACGAAAGCAGUCCUUAAACUUUUAAACCCUAAAAUCAAACCUCUCGAAAUACGGUGAGCAAAGAAGUUGUCAAGGUUUAUGUUAAACCCUAAGAAAAGGCCAUACCCCUGUUUCUUCGUGUCUUUCUCAGGUAUGUUUUUUUAUUAGAGGUUUUGGUUUUCUGGUGGUUUUGCUUGCUUCAUUCAUGGCGGUGGCUUUUGUUUCGCCGCCGGUUGUGGGUAUUGUUGCCUUGAUUAUGUUGGCUUAAUGAUGGUGGUUGAUCUUUAUGUAAGCCUUACCCUUUUUGUAUGAUCUGUGAUGUUGAUGUUGAUGUUGAUGUUGAUGUUGACACUUGAGUUGCGAUUAAGGGAUGUAGGAAGCCGUCUGUUCUAUGUCGUGGGUCUCCGGUGACCACGGUUAUAUAAGCGCUUAUACAUGUUUCUUUGCCCUAUGUUUCCCUCUGUUUUACGCUUGAUUGCGAUUCCGAUUGUGUCCAAUGCGAUGUUUAAGUAUCUAUUGGUUUUGUUUCAUCUUUAGUUUAUUGCUAUUAAUCUGAAUAUAUACGUGUGAUUGAUGAAUGGAUGCUACUUAAUCGAUUACCUUUUGUAUAGGUAAAUAUGAUGGGCUAUGGUCAACCAGUUUCAUUCAUUGCGCUCUAAUUUGAAAUCAAUGAAACUCCCUGAACCAUAAGAAACCCUUUCACUUAACUCCUCUAAAUAUGAUAUUGAAUUAUGUUAUUUGAAUAUUACAUUACGUAUGAUGUAAAUACAUAAUGACUUGGCGAAACUUACUUGGGUUGUAAUUCAAUGUAAGCCAGAUGUGUCUUUGCUGAUGAAACUGAUAUUUGCAGUCAGAGGAUGAGGUGCGGACCCGUUGGGGGCUAUGGUCUAUGAUGAAACUGGUGACGCAAAUUAUGACUUGGUUUACUUAUGUUCCGUGCUCUACCUGUGAACAAUGUGGCAAGCAUCAGGUAGUUUUACAUUUAUGGUUGAAUGGAUAAUAGACCGAUAUGAGGCAAACGGGUCAGUCGCGUAACGGGUAAAAAGACAAACUUUUAUACGGGUAUCAGUUGUGCAAAGAGUGAUCAGUUUCAGCCUUCGGGUUUAUAGAGAUUGAGAUGAGAGAAUAUCAAAGACUCUGCUUAAUCAGAUAUCACAUGAGAAAGAAAAUGAUACAUAAGUGUUUUUACGCUGAUAAAGAAGGUUGCAGAAAAGGGUAUAGCUUUGUUUUGUACAUCUUGGAUGUAUAGGUUAGACGAUGUAACUAUGGAACAUUGGUGUAACAAAUGUAUGGGUUUAUUUGGUAU
rnacentral:lncRNA from 1 species